CUGGCGUUCGUCGAUUUGAGAUCUAUUUUCAUCUCCAGGAUUGUCAAUUGUUAUGAGGGUUUCAGAUAAGGAUGAUGCUUGGCGAUUUGAUACACUGAGGUGAGGAUACGAAUGCAAAGACUGAAAAUAUGGACCAAGAUCCUGUUGAAAUGAAACCCAAGAAAAAAGCAGUCAGACGACAAGGUUACCCUGUUGAUCGAGAUAAUGGUGAGGUGAAGCAAAAGACAGGAAAGAAAAGAGGCCAAAAGAGUGCUGAGAGUGAAAAUUAUGAGGAAGAAAAUGGCUGACAAACUGUGGUAAAAGAAGAAAAAGAGAACGCAAACAAGCAAUCUCGCAGAUGUUGUACUCAGAUUCUAUUCCUUUGAACGGGUGAGCCAUACUUGGUGAUGUUGUAAGAACAAACAUCAUAUUCCAAUAACAAGAAAAUACGGGGUUAUUGCAUGUGCAUUGGAAAAAAUGGAAAUUUUCGAGUAUGUAAUGGAGAUUUUGGAUUCACACAAUAUCAGCCUCCGUGACUUGGAUAUUUAGGAUAUGAGAUGAGGAUUAUGAUGAGACUCCUGCUCUUAUUAUGGACGGGCCCUAAGGAAAGCGGUACAUGACUACAUAUAUACAUGGAUGUAUACCCUUUCAAAAAAAGGUACAAUUCUCGAGGGUGUACAAAGUAUGUUGAACUCCUAUAUAUUGUAAACAAUUGCUCAGACAUGUAUCUUAGCUUUGGGAAUAAUCUCUUAGACGUAUAGCGUAGCUUUGAAAUUUGUUUUCUUAAUCACAUGUAAGCCAUGAUGUGCAUGUAAAGAGAAUUAU